AGUAGUCUCAAUAAGAUACUUGGGUAGCAGGGUUGUGAAAAGAGUGCCUGAGUGUUAAGAGUUCUGUCUUUCUUCUUUAGUUUUGAUGUUUUGGUGCCACUGGACAUUAUCCCUUGCUUUGUAAAUGGUUGUCAAAGACUCAAUGAUCUCCAUGAAUUUGGGAUCGGGGAGUGACAUGUAGCUUUGGUGGUGGGAGUACUAGGUAAUUGAACUUUCGAUCCAUCUCUAAAAUGGCCGUUGGUUGUAUAUUGGGAGCUAGCUAGCUGCCUGCUACUUUGAGAACAACAGAACACUGUCCCAUUUGCGGCGUCAACAACACCAUCAAUUCUCAUCUGGGCGUUGAUGAUGAUUGUUAUCUAGACUGGAAUCAUGACCUCCUUGUGGCAUGAAGAUUCUGGCAAUUGAGAAGCUUCCAAGGUUUCCACAUACCAUAAUUCUCGAAGGUGGAAGCAUCCAUGUAGAUGGAGAAGGGACUUGCCUCACUACUGAGGAGUGCCUGCUAAAUAAAAAUAGGAACCUAAUUUGACGAAGGAGCAAAUAAAGGAUCAACUUAAGGCAUAUCUUGGAGUGACGAAGAUUAUUUGGUUCCCCCGUGGAUUGUAUGUUACAGGCACAAGACUUGCAGCUUCUUAUGUGAAUUUCUACGUUGCCAAUGGAGCAAUCAUUGCGCCACAAUUUGGGGACCAAAAAUGGGACGAUGAGGCUGUCCGAGUCCUAUCGAAAGCCUUUCCAUACCAUGAAGUCUAAACGGUACAAACAAGAAGCUGCAAAAUUUAAAGCUGAGAUAGGCAUUCAAUGCUAGAAGGAGGUCUUUCCAAUCAAUAGCUUCUUGGCCAAUCAAGACCAAACUUUGCCAAAAGUGCGAAUGCAAAGUGCUCUCUCUCUUAAAAAGAAGGCCAAUUGUGAGUGAGACAUUCGAGAUUUUGUA